UACCAGCACCCCGAGUGGUCGGGACGAUUAUUGGGCGUAAAGAGCUCGUAGGCGGCUUGUCACGUCGGAUGUGAAAGCCCGAGGCUCAACCUCGGGCCUGCAGUGGGUACGGGCAGACUAGAGUGCGGUAGGGGAGAUUGGAAUUCCUGGUGUAGCGGUGGAAUGCGCAGAUAUCAGGAGGAACACCGAUGGCGAAGGCAGAUCUCUGGGCCGUAACUGACGCUGAGGAGCGAAAGCAUGGGUAGCGAACAGG
rnacentral:rRNA from 1 species